CAGGUGUCAAAACUUAGUAUACAGAAAUAAAAUAUUCUACAAACUAAAAAGUGUCUCAGCUUUCUCAAAACAUAAGUGGUCGCAGUUCUACCCUAGUCUCUACGCAUCAGACCCAUUGUGUACUAUGCCCUAGCUUUGCCGAUCGUUGCCCAAGAGAGCGCCGUGAAGGCCUUCAAGCCCAACAACUACAAUUCCCUGCUAAUCUUCAAACUUCCGUUGUUUCUCAAAACACAAAUGCAUUUUUCACUUAGCUUAUUGUUAUUCCCUUUUUUCAAUUUGGUCUUGUUUUAUAAGUAUAUUAUAGCAUACCCAUUUGGAGUUUGAUGUAUUAGAUGGGUAAGCUAAGAAUCCCGGAGUUUGUCGUUGGUGAUAAGCCAUAUCUUAGUAGAAAUUAAAAAAAUACGUUUUUAUUAUAAACUUUCAGAAUUACGGUAUUUGGAUUCGGUGUUCGGGAGUAAAAUUUUGAUAAUUCGGUAUUCGAUACGGUAUUCAGAGUAAAAUUUUAGAUCUACGGUAUUUGGGUUCGGAUUCGGUACGAGAUAUUAAAGUAGCUAUAACAAUAGGACUGAAGUGAUUUUGCAGACAAUUUUUUAGAUUUAUGAUUCUUACUUUGAUAUAAGGAUCAAUGCUCGAUCUGCUGUAAUCUUACUCAGAUUACAAGUAUGAAUAGUGAAAAUCCUUCAGAUUCUUGCUCUCCAAGUUCUUGUUGAUUGAACUAAAACUAUACGAUCCAGCUUAAGUGAUUUUGCAAGCAAUGGUGUUGGGUAGCUCUCAUUAUUUCCUUUACAGAUGUGGCUAACAUGAUAUAGGAUAUGAGAUGCAUUUUGUAACUUAAUUCACAAUUCACAUGUGGUUACUAGUUCUCUUUUGAAUACAUAGCUAAUUUAGCAUAUUACUAUUUUUCUUUUUUGCUUAUAUUACUGUUUUGCUUUUUUGCUUUAGUGUGGAAGAUAUUAUGGAACUCUAGUCACAUUGAUAAGCUGUCAGUUUACUUAUAUUCUAGCUCAAGGAAUCCUUGAGCCGAGGGUCUCUCGGAAAUAGCCUCCCUACCUCUCAAUGUAGGGGUAAGGUCCGUGUAGAAUCUACCCUUUCCAGAUCCUACUUGUGGGAUUACAUUGGGUAUGUGUUGUUGUUGUUGUUGUUGGUUUUUACCGAAUAUUGAAUUAUUUAUUCUUUUUGAUCCGUUAAAUAUGGAUCUCCAGACAUAUGUAUCAUUUUUCUUUUGAAAACCAUUUUCUGAGAAACGGGUUUCCUGUGAUAUCCUCAUUACUAAAAUGGGGUGUCUUGAAGUUAUAAUUCUUGGAGAUCGAAAGCAUAUUCUUAUGUACAAAUUCUUUGUAUUCUAGCUUUUAACAUGUUGGAUAUUUUAUUUCUCAACUUUUGAGUCUUUUUUGUGAUUUACCAAUAGGUGAUGUGGUUAUGUAAGUCUAUACUUUGUUUCUUCCUUUCCUGUUUGCUAUAUCCUUUUCUAGAUAAAAUAAAAUCUGUUUUUAGGCAUCUUCCCCCUAAAGUGAUUUGCUUCUACUGGUUGUCUCUCUAUGAAGCUUGUCUUACUCAAGACAACGAAUGAAGAGAAAAAUCCAGAUUGUAAAUAGAUACUUCAUGUGCGAAAGAGACUCUGAAAGUGUUAGACAUCUUCUAUUACACUGCCCAGUGGCUGCUAACAUUUGGAACAUGUUUUUGUCUAUUUUUGGACUAGUUUGGGUUAUGCCUAGCAGCAUUAAAGAAGCCUAUGAAAACUGGUGCUCAUGGAAAGUAGGUAAAUCCAUCAAAAAGUCCUGGUUAAUGGUACCUGCUACAAUUUUUUGGUGCAUUUGAAAUGAAAGGAACCGUAGGUGUUUUGAUGGGAUUUCUACUUCUAACAAUGCUCUUAAAGCUAAAUACUUAAUGAAUUUAUAAUUUUAUUUGGCUGAGCAGUGCAGGCUCUUGUAGCUAGUUGUGAUCAGUUUUUGAUGGGGUUUGCUCCUUAGUUGUAGAUGUAGAUUAAGCUAACUUUUGUAUUUGAGAAAACUCCUGACGUUCCCCUUUGUAAUUGCUGCAUCUUCAAUGAUGCCUUUUAAUGAAACUCUUCUUGCUUAAUCAACAAACAAGAAAAGAAAAAUUGUUUUGGAAUAUUUGUUGCUUUUUCUUGGGACCAAUAUCUUUACUAUUAUUAGUUGCUCUCUUAAAUGGUAAAUCCUUCGCAAAAGAAACGAAAAAGAACUGAUGAGGUGAAGUAUAUCUUUAUGAAUUAGUAUAUUCAUUGUUACACAUUCUGAUGGUGUGAUUUCUUUUAUUACUACAUUGUCACAUUUUCUCUUAUUGCUUUUUACUUUUGGCGCUUUAUAGGUUCAAUAUGGAACCAUCAAAGACUGAAAAUGAGGUGGGAUCGACUAUGAAGACUACUACCAGAUAUGCAUUCGUCGUGCCAGGUGCUAUAGGUGCUAUAGGAAAGGGACGAGGACGAGGAGAGCUUAGAUCAUUUGGUUGAGAAAGAGAACAUGCCAUGUAGGAUAAAUUUGAGGGUGUUGAAUUGAAUGAUCAUCCUGAUCGUAUCUUGGGAAGGAUGAAAGAGUUAUGGAAUAAAUGGAGAGGAUACUUGCAUUUUGUGUCCUAGCCAGCGGGAGCUUUCUUUGAAGAAUUUUCUGGUUAUCUCAAAUUUGGUAGGUCAACUUUUCCAUUCUCAUCAUUCUCUUAGUUCAUAAUAUUUGACCGAGGGAGAGAUACCAAUAUUUCCAAAACAUUUUAAACUUCUAACACAGCAGGACAUAAAAUCUGCUAGCUUUCUUCUUCUCAGUUUUUUUUUACCCUCUCUUUGUUCAUUAGGUACCUCUUAUUGAAUGUAUACAGUCAGUCAAAUUUGAUGUACUACUUCUACUACUACUUCAUAAAUUGUACAUCCUGUUGCCUUUUACGUUUUAAAGGUAUUAUGUAAUUGAAUGAUUAGAUUUUGACAUGCCA